GGCAGUACGUUGCUUAGAAAAUUUUAAACUGAAAGAAAAAAAAGUUCCAAGGGGCCAAAACUCCUCCAAGUUGUUAAAGAAAAAUAUACAUAUACACAAACAUACAAAUCACAAAAUAUUUAAAAAACCAAUAAAGAAAUUAGGUGUGAAAGAGAUCGAGAAGUGUGGGGGGAUGCAAAAAAAAUGUGAGGCUGUUUUGGACUCUAGAGAGAAAGAGAGAGUAGUGACAAGUGGUCCUUACUCUAUUCCAAGUUUACUGUUGUAAAA
rnacentral:lncRNA from 1 species